rnacentral:rRNA from 1 species
UACAGAGGAGCCAAGCGUUGUCCGGAUUGACUGGGCGUAAAGCGCACGCAGGCGGUUGCGCGCGGGGGGUGGGAAAUCUGGCCGCUUAACGGCCAGGCGCCAUCCCAUACGGCGCGACUGGAGUGAUGCAGAGGGCGAUGGAAUUGCCGGUGUAGUGGUGAAAUGCGUAGAGAUCGGCAGGAACACCCAGGGGGAAACCAGUCGACUGGGCAUCUACUGACGCUGAGGUGCGAGAGCGUGGGGAGCGAACCGG